CAAAGUUGUAGUUUAAAAAAAUAUUAGCAUUGGAAGCUAAAGAUUAGGUAAUAUAAUCCUACACUUUGA
rnacentral:tRNA from 1 species